rnacentral:rRNA from 1 species
UGAGGAAUAUUGGUCAAUGGGGGCAACCCUGAACCAGCCAAGUCGCGUGAAGGAUGAAGGUCUUAUGGAUUGUAAACUUCUUUUACACGGGAAUAAAGUGGGGGACGUGUCCCCCUUUGCAUGUACCGUGUGAAUAAGGAUCGGCUAACUCCGUGCCAGCAGCCGCGGUAAUACGGAGGAUCCGAGCGUUAUCCGGAUUUAUUGGGUUUAAAGGGUGCGCAGGCGGGAUGUUAAGUCGGCGGUGAAAUUUUGCAGCUCAACUGUAAAAGUGCCUUCGAUACUGGCCUCCUUGAGUGUGGAUGAAGUCGGCGGAAUUUGUGGUGUAGCGGUGAAAUGCUUAGAUAUCACGAGGAACUCCGAUUGCGCAGGCAGCUUACUAAGCCACAACUGGCGCUCAUGCACGAAGGCGUGGGGAUCAAACA